rnacentral:piRNA from 1 species
CAGAGAGCCAAGAAAACCCAGG